GACGAACGCUGGCGGCGUGCCUAAUACAUGCAAGUCGAGCGCAGGAAGCUGACGGAACUCUUCGGAGGGAAGGCAGCGGAAUGAGCGGCGGACGGGUGAGUAACACGUAAGGAACCUGCCUCAAGGAUUGGGAUAACUCCGAGAAAUCGGAGCUAAUACCGGAUAGUUCAACGGACCGCAUGGUCCGCUGAUGAAAGGCGCUUCGGCGUCACCUUGAGAUGGCCUUGCGGUGCAUUAGCUAGUUGGUGGGGUAACGGCUCACCAAGGCGACGAUGCAUAGCCGACCUGAGAGGGUGCUCGGCCACACUGGGACUGAGACACGGCCCAGACUCCUACGGGAGGCAGCAGUAGGGAAUCUUCCACAAUGGACGAAAGUCUGAUGGAGCAACGCCGCGUGAGUGAUGAAGGUUUUCGGAUCGUAAAACUCUGUUGUAAGGGAAGAACACGUGCGAGAGGAAAUGCUCGUACCUUGACGGUACCUUACGAGAAAGCCACGGCUAACUACAUGCCAGCCGCCGCCGUAAGAC
rnacentral:rRNA from 1 species